rnacentral:rRNA from 1 species
AUUGAACGCUGGCGGCAGGCCUAACACAUGCAAGUCGAGCGGAGCGGCGGACGGGUGAGUAAUGCCUGGGGAUCUGCCUGGUAGUGGGGGAUAACGACCGGAAACGGGCGCUAAUACCGCAUACUAUCAGAUGAACCUAUGUCGGAUUAGCUAGUUGGUGGGGUAAUGGCCUACCAAGGCGACGAUCCGUAGCUGGUCUGAGAGGAUGAUCAGCCACACUGGAACUGAGACACGGUCCAGACUCCUACGGGAGGCAGCAGUGGGGAAUAUUGGACAAUGGGCGAAAGCCUGAUGCAGCCAUGCCGCGUGUGUGAAGAAGGCCUUCGGGUUGUAAAGCACUUUCAGUUGGGAGGCGUUACCGACAGAAUAAGCACCGGCUAACUCCGUGCCAGCCGCCGCGGUAAUAC